GACGUAGGGCGCAAGCGUUGUCCGGAAUUAUUGGGCGUAAAGAGCUCGUAGGCGGUCUGUUGCGUCCGCUGUGAAAACUCGGGGCUUAACCCCGAGCCUGCAGUGGAUACGGGCAGACUAGAGGUAGGUAGGGGAGAAUGGAAUUCCCGGUGUAGCGGUGAAAUGCGCAGAUAUCGGGAGGAACACCGGUGGCGAAGGCGGUUCUCUGGGCCUUACCUGACGCUGAGGCGCGAAAGCUAGGGGAGCAAACAGG
rnacentral:rRNA from 1 species